GACGAACGCUGGCGGCGUGCUUAACACAUGCAAGUCGAACGGAAAGGCCCUGCUUUUGUGGGUUGCUCGAGUGGCGAACGGGUGAGUAACACGUGAGUAACCUGCCCUUGACUUUGGGAUAACUUCAGGAAACUGGGGCUCAUACCGGAUAGGAGCUCCUGCUGCACGGUGGGGGAUGGUAAGUUUCGGCGGUUGGGGAUGGGCUCGCGGCUUAUGCGCUUGAUGGGGGGGUAGUGGCUGACCAAGGCUUUGACGGGUAGCCGGCCUGAGAGGGGGACCGGCCACAUUGGGACUGAGAUACGGACCAGACUCCUACGGUAGGCAGCAGUGGGGAAUAUUGCACAAUGGGCGGACGCCUGAUGCAGCAACGCCGCGUGCGGGAUGACGGCCUUCGGGUUGUAAACCGCUUUCGCCUGUGACGAAGCGUGAGUGACGGUAAUGGAUAAAGAAGCACCGGCUAACUACGUG
rnacentral:rRNA from 1 species